CGGCCUCAGUGGAAGCCGAAUUUCGCAGCCAUUUCGCGCGCUUUUCCGGGAGGCGUGGGAUGUAGAUCUCGUGUUUUGAGUGUUGUGAAAGUUCGCCCAAUUAUUCCCCUUAUUACGAGGAGAAUAUGAACUUUGGAAGCUCUUAGAGAACGCGGAGCUGUGGUUGAAAGAUGGAAUUUACUCCAAAGAAACCACCAGCUACAUUUAAUUCAAGCACAGUCCGUCGGAAUCCAUAUUCGACUGGCAGUCGGAAUUACCUCAAGAAAUACCAGCAUCGAGGAGGGAAGGCAGGGACCCCACACUCGUCCUAUGGAACUCCUCCAGAACGGUUUUGCAGAAACGGUUUUCAUCUCGCUCAGAGAAGAUGGUAACCAGUGCAUUGAAGGCCUUGCCACAGCCUGAGGAAGGUAAUACCCUCGGAAAAUGGUUGGGCAAAAAGGAUUCGUCUCCUCAGGCCUUAAAGCGUCCCUUUAGUGCUAUUAAUGGGACUGAGAAUACUAAAGACCCUUACAACAUCUUCUCGGACAAUGAAGAGGAUGUUUUUAUUCCCAC